UGUUUAAUGAAAAAGUUAAGGUAGUUGACAUCAAGGGCCUAUCAGAAACAAAAUAUAUUAUAAAUACGUACUUAUUGGAAACAUAUCAUAUGCAAUGAAUUAUGCUAGGACUACAGAAUUGUGGAUGAAACCCAAUACUAGCCUUUAAGGGUUUGAAUUUUAGCACAGAAGAUAAUAUUUGCUAGUGAGUAAAAUACAAGGGGUUGAGAAUGGGUUUUCCAACAUGGUUCUAGCUUUUGGAGAAGACUAUGCUUAUAUGAAAUCAGUUAUUGUUGUGGCCUUUUAAAAACUUAAUAUUUUAUUUAUUUUACUUUAAGUUUUGGGAUACAUGUGCAGAAUGUGCAGGUUUGUUACAUAGGAAUACAUGUGUCAUGGUGGUUUGCUGUACCUAUCAACCCAUCAUCUAGGUUUUAAGCCCCACAUGCAUUAGAUGUUUAUCCUAAUGCUUUUCCUCCCCUUGCUCCCCUACCCUUCAACAAGCCCCAGUGUGUGAUUUUCCCCUCCCUGUGUCCAUGUAUUCUCAUUGUUCAGCUCCUACUUAUGGGUGAGAACAUGUGGUGGUUGGUUUUCUGUUCCUAUGUUAGUUUGCUGAGAAUGAUGGUUUCCAGCUUCAUCCAUGUCCCUGCCAAGGACAUGAACUCAUUCUUUUUUAUGGCUGCUUGUGGCCAUUAUUAAUAAAGCACUUUUGACUGGGUGAGGUGGCUCACACCUGUAAUCCCAGCACUUUGGGGAGGCUGAGGCAGGAGGAUUGCUUGAGCCUAGGAGUUCAAGACUAGCCUGGGCAACAGCGAGACCCCCAUCUGUACAAAUACAUACGUAAAUAUAAAUAAAGCACUUUUGGUAAAAUGUGCUUUAGCAUCAUAGUCAGUUUUCAGUUUGAUUGAUUACCUUCUUCCCUAAGAAAUUUCAGCCAAAUUAUGUUAUUUGAAUCAGCUGCCACUUUAUUGUUGGGUAAAGCCGCCUGCUUAUUUUUUUUUGUUUGUGUGUAUAUAUAUAUAUGUAUUUUUUUUUAAAACUACUGUUUUUAAGAUGAUAGUUAUAUAAUCAAUGUAAAAAUUCAGUAGACGGAAACUUCCCACAUAGUAUGCUGCCCCUAUGUGUAACCUUGAAGGAAGGAAGAAUAAGCAAAGAAACCUUUCACCCAACUAUGAUAGUUUUAUAAACCUGUUUCAAACAACCCAGGUUUCAAUCUAGGUGCUAAUAUUCAUUCUGUGACUGUAUUUCUUAUUUUUUUUUCUUGCGAAUGGCAUUAUAAAUCAUGCCUUUAUAACUGUGACUGGAUUUCUACCUUCCUCACCAGUUGCAUAGGGUGGUUUGAUAAGCAAAUGGAAGUGUAUAUCGAAAACAUUCUGAACACAGUAAAGCAUUGCACAAGUGACAGAUAAUCAAAGAUAAAACUUUCACUGAAUUUCCAGCACCAGAAACUACCAAAACUAACAACAACAACAACAACAACAACAAAAAAAGAAACAAUGAAUUUGGCAGCCAUAAAAGAUAAGCCAUCAUUUAUUCCUUAACAGUAAUGGCCACUAUUUACUGAGCACUUACUGUGUGUCAGCCACUGUGAUAAUGGCUUUACCAUUUAAUCUUCUCAACAAUGAAAAUUAAAACCAUUUAAUCUUCUCAACAAUGCUUUUGAAAGAAAACGAAAAAAACCUGAAUAUCAUGCUGGCUAUCAUUGCCAACAUAGCUAGUAAGGUAACUUCAGAAACAGACACUAAACUUAAUAAUGUAACACUAGUAUAAAAUUAUUAUAUUUACAAAAUAGAUGGUUUCUGGGAUGAUUUUUCAAGUAUUGAGCAUGUAUAAAUUUAACAAUCCUGUCCUUUUAUGUGAGUGCACUUGUGUAGUGCUUUACUGGGUUCAGAGUGCUUUCCUAUAUAUCCUUCU